CCUACGGGAGGCAGCAGUGGGGAAUAUUGCACAAUGGGGGAAACCCUGAUGCAGCGACGCCGCGUGAGCGAAGAAGUAUUUCGGUAUGUAAAGCUCUAUCAGCAGGGAAGAAAAUGACGGUACCUGAGUAAGAAGCUCCGGCUAAAUACGUGCCAGCCGCCGCGGUAAUACGUAUGGAGCAAGCGUUAUCCGGAUUUAUUGGGUUUAAAGGGUGCGUAGGCGGACAGUCAAGUCAGCGGUAAAAAUGCGGUGCUCAACGCCGUACAGCCGUUGAAACUGGCAGUCUUGAGUGGGCGAGAAGUAUGCGGAAUGCGUGGUGUAGCGGUGAAAUGCAUAGAUAUCACGCAGAACUCCGAUUGCGAAGGCAGCAUACCGGAGCCCGACUGACGCUGAGGCACGAAAGCGUGGGUAUCGAACAGGAUUAGAUACCCCAGUAGUC
rnacentral:rRNA from 1 species